UGGGGGGGCGGGGUUUCCGGCCCGCAUGUAUUUGCAUAUAUUAUAGAGGCCACUAGUGCUGACCAAGCUGCCAUCUUUCUCUCUUCCCGUCUUUCAAUGGCUGCUUCAAUUUCAGCUCGAACCUCCAAACCGCAAGUUAGCACCUCAUACCACAGUGCAUCAAAGCAGUCUCAUGAGCGCUGGGAAGGAGGAGCCCAGAGCCCAAAACAGACAGUGCAGGAGAUGACAAGCUGUCCUGUGCCAGAAGUUCUGUUGACCCACAGUGAGAGGCAUCAUUUCAGAAACACCAGGAAGACU